GAUGAAGAACGUAGCGAAAUGCGAUAAGUAGUGUGAAUUGCAGAAUUCAGUGAAUCAUCGAAUCCUUGAACGCACAUUGCGCCCUUUGGUAUUCCAAAGGGCAUGCCUGUUCGAGCGUCAUUUGUACCCUCAAGCUUUGCUUGGUGUUGGGCGUCUUGUCUCUAGCUUUGCUGGAGACUCGCCUUAAAGUAAUUGGCAGCCGGCCUACUGGUUUCGGAGCGCAGCACAAGUCGCACUCUCUAUCAGCAAAGGUCUAGCAUCCACUAAGCCUUUUUUUCAACUUUUGACCUCGGAUCAGGUAGGGAUACCCGCUGAACUUAAGCAUAUCAAUAAGCGGAGGA
rnacentral:misc_RNA from 1 species